ensembl:miRNA MIR548N microRNA 548n
AGGUUGGUGCAAAAGUAAUUGUGGAUUUUGUCGUUAAAAAUAGCAAAACCCGCAAUUACUUUUGCACCAACCUAA